rnacentral:rRNA from 1 species
GAUGAACGCUGGCGGCGUGCCUAAUACAUGCAAGUCGAGCGAACGGACGAGAAGCUUGCUUCUCUGAUGUUAGCGGCGGGCGGGUGAGUAACACGUGGAUAACCUACCUAUAAGACUGGGAUAACUUCGGGAAACCGGAGAUAAUACCGGAUGAUAUUUUGAACCGCAUGGUUCAAAAGUGAAAGACGGUCUUGCUGUCACUUAUAGAUGGAUCCGCGCUGCAUUAGCUAGUUGGUAAGGUAACGGCUUACCAAGGCAACGAUGCAUAGCCGACCUGAGAGGGUGAUCGGCCACACUGGAACUGAGACACGGUCCAGACUCCUACGGUAGGCAGCAGUAGGGAAUCUUCCGCAAUGGGCGAAAGCCUGACGGAGCAACGCCGCGUGAGUGAUGAAGGUCUUCGGAUCGUAAAACUCUGUUAUUAGUGAAGAACAUAUGUGUAAGUAACUGUGCACAUCUUGACGGUACCUAAUCAGAAAGCCACGGCUAACUACGUG